UGUAACAACCGUGUUCCAAGAAAAUGAACGAAAAAUCGCUGUGGUGAUCCUUAAGUGGCGUUGCCGGUAUGCUGGCGUUUAGCGCGGCUAUGGCUCGUCGGAUUGGGGGUUGGUUCUUGCCACUUGUAGACCUUUUCGGUUGAACAAACAAAAAAAUCAUACCGGACUUCACACAAAAUCUAAAAGGGGGAUAAAAGGAAGCCUGAAACAUGUCUAUAAAAAAAAGAAAAAGAAACCGUUCACCUAAACUACAACCCAAAUCCCAAACUUACUUUACUUUAUCACCACAGGAAACAGUGCUCCUGGCGGCUGACCAACCAGGAGAUAUCCCUCCCUCCGAGAACACCUCUCGCCAUGACGUCUACUUAUCCCUGACGUCCCAGAUUUGACCCUUAACUUACCACAUUUUAUCCCAUGGCCACCACCUUUUUAAUAGGGCUUUAAGCCGAAAACAUAUUUAUCUUUUCUAUAAAAAAUUUGUACAUUUUAUUCAGCCAAUUUUGCUCUUCAAAGAUAUGAACAAUUCAACAAGGCUUUUAUAUGUUAUAAAAAAAACAUAAUGACAAAAAAAUCGAAGAUAUAAAUUUACAGCGCCAAAAUUAUUUUAAAAUAUCAUAUUUGCUCCUUUCUCCUUUCAGGUUGCGAUGGCGGUCGACAAAAAGUAUGGAACAGUAAAGGCUGCUAAUGUUUGAGGUUCUUCCCAAUUGGGAAGGACAAACAAAGGAGUGGUGUCGACAACC
rnacentral:sRNA from 1 species